UGCAAGUCGAACGAUGAUGCCCAGCUUGCUGGGCGGAUUAGUGGCGAACGGGUGAGUAAUACGUGAGUAACCUGCCCUUGACUCUGGGAUAAGCCUGGGAAACUGGGUCUAAUACUGGAUACUACCUCCUGCCGCAUGGUGGGUGGUGGAAAGGGUUUUACUGGUUUUGGAUGGGCUCACGGCCUAUCAGCUUGUUGGUGGGGUAAUGGCUCACCAAGGCGACGACGGGUAGCCGGCCUGAGAGGGUGACCGGCCACACUGGGACUGAGACACGGCCCAGACUCCUACGGGAGGCAGCAGUGGGGAAUAUUGCACAAUGGGCGGAAGCCUGAUGCAGCGACGCCGCGUGAGGGAUGACGGCCUUCGGGUUGUAAACCUCUUUCAGUAGGGAAGAAGCGAGAGUGACGGUACCUGCAGAAGAAGCGCCGGCUAACUACGUGCCAGCAGCCGCGGUAAUACGUAGGGCGCAAGCGUUGUCCGGAAUUAUUGGGCGUAAAGAGCUCGUAGGCGGUUUGUCGCGUCUGCUGUGAAAGCCCGGGGCUCAACCCCGGGUCUGCAGUGGGUACGGGCAGACUAGAGUGCAGUAGGGGAGACUGGAAUUCCUGGUGUAGCGGUGAAAUGCGCAGAUAUCAGGAGGAACACCGAUGGCGAAGGCAGGUCUCUGGGCUGUUACUGACGCUGAGGAGCGAAAGCAUGGGGAGCGAACAGGAUUAGAUACCCUGGUAGUCCAUGCCGUAAACGUUGGGCACUAGGUGUGGGGGACAUUCCACGUUUUCCGCGCCGUAGCUAACGCAUUAAGUGCCCCGCCUGGGGAGUACGGCCGCAAGGCUAAAACUCAAAGGAAUUGACGGGGGCCCGCACAAGCGGCGGAGCAUGCGGAUUAAUUCGAUGCAACGCGAAGAACCUUACCAAGGCUUGACAUUCACCGGACCGCCCCAGAAAAUGGGGUUUCCCUUCGGGGCUGGUGGACAGGUGGUGCAUGGUUGUCGUCAGCUCGUGUCGUGAGAUGUUUGGGUUAAGUCCCGCAACGAGCGCAACCCU
rnacentral:rRNA from 1 species